GGUCGUCCCACCCUAAUCUUAUUAAACAAAUGGGCUUUCUACUUGGCCAGUACCAUCUUGUCUGCUCCUUACUAUACACGCGGGUGGCAAAGACAGGAGAAGAUGGAGCCACCGUUUUGAACGUGUCUAUUCCCAGCUCGGAAGGCACAAUCCACAUAGGUCUGCAUGGUCCACCGAGCUGCAUACCCACGGGGCCAGCGGGAGGUGGGCAGCUGCUGGGCUCUCUUCUGAAGCAGACAGGAUCUCACUCUGUUGCUGAGGCUGGAUCACAGCUCCCUGCAACCUUGAACUCUCCCUCAAGCAAUUCUCCCCACUCUGCCUUCCAAAGCACUAGCAUUAUAGGCCUAAGCCACCACUCCCAUCCACUGUAGUGUAAACUGUCUCCUUCAAUGUUUCCAAUAGUUGCGGAGCAGAUCAGAUAAGGGUUCUUCCUGUCUGUUGCUUCAAGUUUCAUUCUCUCUUUAAACAAUACAAGGUUGGCUUCCAUGGUUCCUUCUUAAAGAAUGUUGAAGGUGUGUCUUCAGAUUCAUUUAGUGUUCGUGGAACCCCAGGGAAAGCUGAUGUAAAAACCUCUUUUUUCUCCCAUAUGUCUCAAAAAGUUGUAUUUUCUGGGUCCAAGGGAUCUGCAAGCCUCCUAAAGGCAUUUCCAUUGUCACUACCACCAGGUGUGAACUGUAAUCUGGCACGUAUAGUUCCAAGAACUGUCAUAAUAGAUGCUGAAGAAACAUUGUGAAGUUAACUCGCUGUUACCAACUGUGAAGUCAUUAGCUAGAGGAAUCUUGGGCGGUCUGAAAUCUGAGAUACUGUGGAAAGAACAGAAAGAUCCUGUAUCUUUCCUAUAAUUGUUCUACUGGAAGUUGUCAUUUUACACAGGAGACAUUCUGUUUUAUUUAUUUUCUUUUGAGACAGGGUCUCACUCUGUCGCCCAGGCUGGAGUGCAGUGUUGUUACCACAGGUCACUGGUGCCUCCACUGCCUGAGGACUGCUCAAGCAAUCCUCCUGCCUCAGUCCCCUGAGGAGCUGGGGCCACAGGCCUGCACCACCAUGCCUGGCUAAUUAUUUUUAUUUGUAGAGACAAAGUCUAUCUUGCCUAGGCUGAUCUCGAACUCCUGGGCUCAAGUAAUCCUCCCGCGGUGGCUUCUCAAAGUGCUUGGGAUUACAGAUGUAAGCUACCAUGCCCGGCCUCACAGGAGACAUUUUUGAUGUCCCUCUUGACAGUCUACAAAAGUCUACAAAUCUUUUUUUUUUUUUUUUUGAGACAGGGUCUUGCUCUGUCACCCAGUCUGGAAUGCAGUGGUGCCAUCAUAGCUCACUACAGCCUGAGCUGUACUGAGCUCGAGGGAUCUUCCCGUCUCCGCCUCCUAAGCAGCUGGGACUACAGGUACUUGCCCCCAGGCCCAGAUAAUUUAUUUAAAAACUUUUUUUGUAGAGACAGGGUCUCACUAUGUUGCCCAGGCUGGUCUCAAACUCCUGGCCUCAAACAAUCCUCUACCUCAACCCCCCUAAGUGCUGGCAUUACAGGCAUCAGCUGCCAUGCCUGGCUACAAAUCUUAAUGUUUUCCCCAUGGCUUCUUUUUCUGGCGUUCUUUUCUCAGGUAAUGGAAGUGGGCAGAGAAUGAUCCUUUCCCUAGGCUCCAGUGUGUAAGAAUUAAAGAAAGAGGAAAGAAACACAAUGGCUUGAUGGUCGAGGACAGGUUUAUUUUAAAGAAAACAAACCCAAGAGUGGCUUCUGGCUGAGUUAGAUCAGAGGCAUGCUCUCUUACAGACUAAGAGUUUUUAAGGAUUCAGGGUGGGAGAGUUUAUCAGAGGCUUGGACUGCUUCUGUGUCUCUUUAGGUGUGCUUAUCUGGGAGGGAGUUGUGUGUCUGUUUCCAUACAUCUUCCUGCAGCUGCAGGCAUACCCCCAGGUCUGCUUUUAGCUUCCCUAUCUUAGUGCACCUGAAGGGAAAGAAUGUGCUUAUUAAGGCCCACUGUUAUACUGGGGCCCAAUGUAUGAGGGUGAAGUUUGGCAAUUACCCAAGAGACUUUCCCCCCACCUCCCUCUGUGCCUGAGCUGUCUCAUCUAUGUUUUACUGUCUGCUCUUUCUGUCUGCUUGUUGUUAGAAGAGAAGUGAUUUUCUUGAAAUGCAUGAGGCUGGAAAGGGAGCUGGCACUUAAAGUGGCGGUGUUUGUCCGAGAGGAUGGUGCUCCUGCUCUGUCACAGUGGGCAUGGGGAUUCAGGCCACUGCCACCGAAUUUCAAGAGCCCAAGCACAGAGCCCAGAACUAAAUUGUGAGGGUUUAAAAAAAAAAAAAGCUUUAUUGAAGUAUAAUUGACAUACAAUAAACUUGAAUAUUUAAAGUGU
ensembl:lncRNA LINC00668 long intergenic non-protein coding RNA 668